rnacentral:rRNA from 1 species
UACGGAGGGCGCGAGCGUUACCCGGAUUUACUGGGCGUAAAGGGCGUGUAGGCGGCCUGGGGCGUCCCAUGUGAAAGGCCACGGCUCAACCGUGGAGGAGCGUGGGAUACGCUCAGGCUAGAGGGUGGGAGAGGGUGGUGGAAUUCCCGGAGUAGCGGUGAAAUGCGCAGAUACCGGGAGGAACGCCGAUGGCGAAGGCAGCCACCUGGUCCACUUCUGACGCUGAGGCGCGAAAGCGUGGGGAGCAAACCGGAUUAGAUACCCGGGUAGUCC